rnacentral:rRNA from 1 species
GACGAACGCUGGCGGCGUGCUUAACACAUGCAAGUCGAACGGAAAGGCCCUGCUUUUGUGGGGUGCUCGAGUGGCGAACGGGUGAGUAACACGUGAGUAACCUGCCCUUGUCUUUGGGAUAACUUCAGGAAACUGGGGCUAAUAUCGGAUAGGAGCUCCUGCUGCAUGGUGGGGGUUGGAAAGUUUCGGCGGUUGGGGAUGGACUCGCGGCUUAUCAGCUUGUUGGUGGGGUAGUGGCUUACCAAGGGUUUGACGGGUAGCCGGCCUGAGAGGGUGACCGGCCACAUUGGGACUAAGAGACGGCCCAGACUCCUACGGGAGGCAGCAGUGGGGAAUAUUGCACAAUGGGCGGAAGCCUGAGGCAGCAACGCCGCGUUCGGAAUGACGGCCUUCGGGUUGUAAACCGCUUUCGCCUGUGACGAAGCGUGAGUGACGGUAAUGGGUAAAGAAGCACCGGCUAACUACGUG